rnacentral:rRNA from 1 species
GACGAACCGUGCGAACGUUGUUCGGAAUCACUGGGCUUAAAGGGCGCGUAGGCGGGCGGUCUCGUCGGGGGUGAAAUCCUGCCGCUCAACGGCAGAACUGCCCCCGAUACGGGCCGUCUCGAGGGAGGUAGGGGCCUGCGGAACUUCCGGUGGAGCGGUGAAAUGCGUAGAUAUCGGAAGGAACGCCGGUGGCGAAAGCGGCGGGCUGGACCUCUUCUGACGCUGAGGCGCGAAAGCCAGGGGAGCGAACGGG